GUCGAACGAGCGAGAGAGAGCUUGCUUUCUCGAGCGAGUGGCGAACGGGUGAGUAACGCGUGAGGAACCUGCCUCAAAGAGGGGGACAACAGUUGGAAACGACUGCUAAUACCGCAUAAGCCCACAGGUCGGCAUCGACCAGAGGGAAAAGGAGCAAUCCGCUUUGAGAUGGCCUCGCGUCCGAUUAGCUAGUUGGUGAGGUAAUGGCCCACCAAGGCGACGAUCGGUAGCCGGACUGAGAGGUUGAACGGCCACAUUGGGACUGAGACACGGCCCAGACUCCUACGGGAGGCAGCAGUGGGGAAUAUUGCACAAUGGGGGAAACCCUGAUGCAGCGACGCCGCGUGGAGGAAGAAGGUCUUCGGAUUGUAAACUCCUGUUGUUGAGGAAGAUAAUGACGGUACUCAACAAGGAAGUGACGGCUAACUACGUGCCAGCAGCCGCGGUAAAACGUAGGUCACAAGCGUUGUCCGGAAUUACUGGGUGUAAAGGGAGCGCAGGCGGGAAGACAAGUUGGAAGUGAAAUCUAUGGGCUCAACCCAUAAACUGCUUUCAAAACUGUUUUUCUUGAGUAGUGCAGAGGUAGGCGGAAUUCCCGGUGUAGCGGUGGAAUGCGUAGAUAUCGGGAGGAACACCAGUGGCGAAGGCGGCCUACUGGGCACCAACUGACGCUGAGGCUCGAAAGUGUGGGUAGCAAACAGGAUUAGAUACCCUGGUAGUCCACACCGUAAACGAUGAUUACUAGGUGUUGGAGGAUUGACCCCUUCAGUGCCGCAGUUAACACAAUAAGUAAUCCACCUGGGGAGUACGACC
rnacentral:rRNA from 1 species